UAGCUAUAAACAGUUCUUCUUUUUGUGUAAAAGGAGAGACUACAGUUACAGACAUCAUGUCUACUUGUUUAAUAGGAGUUCCAGUGCCAGGAAAGUUUUUAAUAGGUGAAUCCAGGAUUAUUAUACAUCCUGAUGCUCAUACUUUGUAUAAUUUGUCAAAAGUGAUUACUUUGUUUGGAUCUCCUGUGAAGCCAACUAAAUGGACAAAU